CACGUAGGGUGCGAGCGUUGUCCGGAAUUAUUGGGCGUAAAGGGCUCGUAGGCGGUGUGUCGCGUCGGCCGUGAAAACCUGCAGCUUAACUGUGGGCUUGCGGUCGAUACGGGCAGGCUAGAGUUCGGUAGGGGAGACUGGAAUUCCUGGUGUAGCGGUGAAAUGCGCAGAUAUCAGGAGGAACACCGGUGGCGAAGGCGGGUCUCUGGGCCGAUACUGACGCUGAGGCACGAAGGCCAGGGGAGCAAACGGG
rnacentral:rRNA from 1 species